UAAAUGAGAACUUGUUCUCAACUUGCCUACCUGGUUAAAUAAAGGUGAAAAAAAGAGGUAAAUAUGACAGUGGGAUGAGAGUAACUUAUCAAGCCUUUUGUUGCUUUUUGUUGUUGCAUGUGGUAAUUUUGUGUCUUGUCUCCCUCUGGUGACUCCCACCCUGCUUGGAUGUUUUGUCAGGCUUGUCGUGCAGGAAGAGAUCCUCUCUGCUGGCUUUUCUCUGUGUGUGUUAGCCCUGUGGGGCGAGGCCUGUCCCUCCCCAGCCCUGCUCCGUAGCUGGAGGCAGCAUGGGAAAUGGACUCACAACAUCUAUGGCAUCACUGAGGUGUUCUGCUGGGCCUGCUGCUAGCACUUCCCAGAGAGCCUCCUGCAGUCUACUGAUYUUUGGCAGUGUGUGUGGACGCACCACUGUGGGAGUGGAGAUGUGUUCUCCUCACCCUGUCUCCAUCCCUCUCUGACAGCAGUGUGUCGCCACCCUUGGUGGAAACUUCCUCUGUCUCCAUCCUGACACUGGUAUUGUCCUGUAGAUGUAUUCCAGGAAGACUACAUUUUUCUCCAUCCCAAGCGGCUUCAUUGGAAACCUAAUCAUCGGCUCUGUGGAUGGAAACAUCUGCUGCCUCACCCACACAGGGAAAAUGCUGUGGCAGUAUGUGACCAAGGGCAGUGUUCUCAUCUUCUCAUCGCCAUGCAUCAUACCAGACAAGCAGAGCAUUGUGUGUGGGUCACAUGACGGGUGUGUGUACUGUCUGAACUGUGCUGACGGCUCAUUGAUGUGGCGUUACCAGAGGGUGUACUCCAGCCCCUGUGUGUUUGAGGGGUCACCCUGAGGUAUGGAAGGUACAUUGGUGGGCCUGGCCUCCACAGAUGGGACCCUGUGUGUUCUGGAUGGAGAGAAUGGAACUCUGAGAGCCUCUCUUUGCCCAGGGAGCUCCUCUCCUGUGGUGUGGCAGCGCUCCUGGUGGUCGAAUGACGCAAUGACUUUGUGUACUUGUGUGGAGCCGACAGAUGAGCUCAAAUUGUUUCCUGAGAUGACAU